rnacentral:snRNA from 1 species
GUGCUCCCUCUGGCAGCACACACACUACAGUGGCAUGAAACUAGCAUGGUCCCUGGGCAAGGAUGACCCAUAAAUCUGUGAAACAAUUCUGAUAUAU